rnacentral:tRNA from 1 species
GGGGUUAUAGCUUAGUGGUUGAGCGCUUGCCUCGCAUGCAUGAGGUACUGGGUUCGAUCCUCAUCACCACA